UUUCAGCUACACAUGAAGCGCAAGUGCACGUCGAAUAUUCUAUUGAGCCUGUUACAUGUACAGCGAUUAACUCCGAGUCCAUCACCGAUUCAAAAGUGUCUGGUAGGAAAACUUACAUACGGGAACCGCUUACGUUAAAGUUACUUGUUUCUUUAAUAUUAAACUUUGUUUUUAUUGUUCUAAUUACAUGGAUUAUCUUCAAUGGCCGUGAUGCAAAGUUUAAACAUAACAAUGUUUGUAAGACUAGCAGAUGUGUUUCCUGUCAUGUAACCACAGUUUUUGUUGGAAAGAAUAUCUUCUCUACGAAUUUUGGACUUUCCUUGAAUUUGCUAAUUAGGGAGAUGUUAACAGCUGAAAAGAUCUCUCAGAGGAAGAAAUAUCCCUUGGGAGAAAUUUUGUCUUAUGUCUACACCUUACCUCUUAACGCAGAUGUUCUGCCAUUUAGGAAUGUGGCCCCUCGGCGAUUUUAUAAAUUGGAUGAAUCAAGUAUAAAAGGUAAUACAACAAUAUCUGUUAAAAAAUCGGGAAGGUUCAGGAUAUUUGCUGGCGUGAUCGUAUGGACUGGAGGAGACCUAUGUCCCACACCCACCAAAAACUUUGCCCAGGUCACGUCUAUGGAUCCAAAACUAAGACGGAGAGUGUUAUUGCAGAAAAGAUGGACUUGCUCACCAAGCGAAUCAAUACGGUCGAUCCAUCUGGGAGAAAUCAUUAGUUUAUCUAAAGGCAGCAUUAUUUUUGUAGAACUCUUGAAUAUAGCUCAUAUCUAUGUGUCAUUUCCUGGUAACAAUUUAGGAAUAAUACCGAUUUCUUAUUCUUAAAAUUUAUCUUUUAUCUUGAAAUGAAAUUAUAUCAGCAAUCUAAGCAUUCGUUCAUAAAUCACACAUAAAAAAAAAAUGCAAUUUCCAGUUUUUGUACCGUCUUCCGUGCAAUCGCAUCAUCUCGGGUCUUUCCGUCGGAGGUCGGAAAAACAACCUCGUAUGUAUUAACAUCACCGGAUGUUAAAAAUUUAUAGAUUUCCUGUUUAUUCAAAUAUAGGAUAGA